CCUACGGGCGGCAGCAGUGGGGAAUAUUGCGCAAUGGGCGAAAGCCUGACGCAGCGACGCCGCGUGAGGGAUGAAGGUCUUCGGAUCGUAAACCUCUGUUAGCAGGGAAGAAAGGUCACUGUGCUAAUUAGCAGUGAAUUGACGGUACCUGCAAAGGAAGCCCCGGCUAACGCCGUGCCAGCAGCCGCGGUAAUACGGAGGGUGCGAGCGUUAAUCGGUAUUACUGGGCGUAAAGCGCUCGUAGGUGGUAUGUCAAGUCAAGGGUGAAAUCCCCGCGCUCAACGUGGGAACUGCCUUUGAAACUGGCAAACUAGAGUGUGUGUGAGGUAAGUGGAAUUCCAGGUGUAGGAGUGAAAUCCGUAGAUAGC
rnacentral:rRNA from 1 species